rnacentral:rRNA from 1 species
CCUACGGGUGGCUGCAGUGAGGAAUAUUGGUCAAUGGACGAGAGCCUGAACCAGCCAAGUAGCGUGAAGGAUGACUGCCCUAUGGGUUGUAAACUUCUUUUAUAUGGGAAUAAAACGUUCCACGUGUGGUACUUUGUAUGUACCUUAUGAAUAAGGAUCGGCUAACUCCGUGCCAGCAGCCGCGGUAAUACGGAGGAUCCGAGCGUUAUCCGGAUUUAUUGGGUUUAAAGGGAGCGUAGGUGGAUUGUUAAGUCAGUUGUGAAAGUUUGCGGCUCAACCGUAAAAUUGCAGUUGAUACUGGCAGUCUUGAGUACAGUAGAGGUGGGCGGAAUUCGUGGUGUAGCGGUGAAAUGCUUAGAUAUCACGAAGAACUCCGAUUGCGAAGGCAGUUCACUGGACUGCAACUGACACUGAGGCUCGAAAGUGUGGGUAUCAAACAGGAUUAGAUACCCGAGUAGUC